AAUAAACAAGAGAAAAUACAUAAAAUAUGUCAGAAACUGUCUUAGAAGAAUGGUGUUCAGAGAGGAAAGACUCAGCCUGGAGAAGGGAAAAGUCAACAACAUGAGGAUUCAGGCCUCACCACAAAGCACAAAGUGGCAGAAAGGGAAGGGAGUGUCAGUGAUGGACAUCUGGCAUGGUUUCAACUCUCAGUCCCCAUAAUCAAGGCUAUGACAAGGAUCUUCAUGCACUUUCCCUUAGAGACCAGUGUGAGAAUUUCUCUGCAGGCAUUCCCAGAAAUGUGAUUCCUGGGUCCGAGAUAAGUGCAUUCGACCAAGUAUUGCUGGAUUGCCCUAAACAAUGGGGCUGCCCCCGUCUACACUCUUGCUGCCAUCACACGAUGGUCCUGUAUUCCCUACAACCCUGCCAUGACCUGUCAUCACCCAGCUGUCUAAUUUUUGUCAAGUUGGAUGGGUAUAGUGUCAUAAUUCACCAUAGUUUUUAUUUUAUAUCUCUGAUUAAACAAGUCCCAGCAUUUCUUCAUUUGCUCACCAUUUUGGGUUUCCUCUCGUAUGAACGGACUAUUCAUACUUUUUGAUCUAUUUAUCGAUUAGGUUUUUAAAAAAUUAAUUUGAAAAAAUUCCUUAGGCAUUGUAGAUAUUUGUACCAUGUCAGGCUUAGAUCUUUAAAAUGUAUUUUCCUGAUUUGUCAUUUGCCUUUUGUGUCCAUGAUUUUUUUAUUAAGUGGAAGUCCUUAAUUUUGAUAUAGUCAAGGAAGUGUAACUUUGGAUAGUGUCUUCCUGGGAAGAAGAGGUGGAAGUUUGGGAGUGCGCUUGCAUGUGAAGGGCCAUCUUAUCUAAGGAAAGGUUAAAAAUAAUUGAGAUUUUUUUGGGAAAGGGGUUCAGGGAAGGAAAGAUAAGAUAUAAAUGGUAAGAUAGCUAUUUUUUUCUAAAGGACUGUAAGUCAAAGAACCUUUUUACUUAGUCCAUCCUCAGGUAGAAAGGAUUGCCCUGUGAGAUGAGCUCUUGUUCUCUGAGAUGGCCAAGCACAGGGUGGGUGAAUGCCAGAAUGCCCUUGGCCAAGGCUCUAUCCACUGGAAAAGUCUGGAAACAGUAGUCAACCUGGUAGCAAUGAGUUUCACUAGUACCAGAUUGUAGUCUCUAAAUAUCAUUUCCCGUUAAGAAGACCCAGAGGCCCUUGGAGAAAUGGCAGCUUGUGGUCUAGAGCAAGAUGAACACGGAACAUCUUAUUGCACCAAAAAGCAAGAAAGCCAUCAAACAAUUGGAUAUUAUUCCAAAAGACUCAGGAAUCAUCUGGGAGGGACUACAUCUGGCCAAAGAUAAGGAAAUUUGAUUGUCAAAAAGAUUAAUGACUUCAGCGGUUUGAGAUAUAUCAGUUAUCUUUACAUUUAUAGUUCAUGAUAAUACUAAAUUUCUAAAAUCUCACUGGUCAGCUUUGGAGGGUACCAGGAAACUAUUCAGUAUUUUAAAGGGGCUCCUGGGUGGUUCAGUCGGUUAAACAUCUGACUCUUGGUGUCAGCUCAGGUCGUGAUCUCAUG